rnacentral:rRNA from 1 species
GUGUAUAAGAGACAGGAUGAACUGAGGGUAGCGGAGAAAUUCCAAUCGAACCUGGAGAUAGCUGGUUCUCUCCGAAAUAGCUUUAGGGCUAGCCUCAAGUGAUGAUUAUUGGAGGUAGAGCACUGUUUGGACGAGGGGCCCCUCUCGGGUUACCGAAUUCAGACAAACUCCGAAUGCCAAUUAAUUUAACUUGGGAGUCAGAACAUGGGUGAUAAGGUCCGUGUUCGAAAGGGAAACAGCCCAGACCACCAGCUAAGGUCCCAAAAUAUAUGUUAAGUGGAAAAGGAUGUGGCGUUGCCCAGACAACUAGGAUGUUGGCU